GCUGGGCGCAGUGGCUCACGCCUGUAAUCCUAGCUCCUCAGGAGGCUGAGGCAGGAGAAUCGCUUGAACCCAGGAGGCGGAGGUUGCAGUGAGCCGAGAUCAAGCCACUGCACUCCAGCCUGGGUGACAGAGUGAGACUCUGUCUCAA
rnacentral:SRP_RNA from 2 species